rnacentral:rRNA from 1 species
GACGUACCACCCAAACGUUAUUCGGAAUCACUGGGCUUAAAGAGUCCGUAGGUGGCUCAAAAAGUUGGAUGUGAAAUACCUCGGCCUAACCGAGGAACUGCAUUCAAAACUACUGGGCUUGAGAGAGACAGAGGUAAGCGGAACUGAUGGUGGAGCGGUGAAAUGCGUUGAUAUCAUCAGGAACACCGGUGGCGAAAGCGGCUUACUGGGUCUCUUCUGACGCUGAGGGACGAAAGCUAGGGGAGCGAACGGG